UUAUUAAUAAAAUCGAAUGUU
rnacentral:piRNA from 1 species